rnacentral:rRNA from 1 species
AUACGGAGGGUGCAAGCGUUAUCCGGAAUCAUUGGGUUUAAAGGGUCCGCAGGCGGACGUAUAAGUCAGUGGUGAAAUCCUGCAGCUUAACUGCAAAACUGCCAUUGAUACUGUACGUCUUGAAUUCGGUCGAAGUGGGCGGAAUGUGUAGUGUAGCGGUGAAAUGCAUAGAUAUUACACAGAACACCGAUAGCGAAGGCAGCUCACUAGGCCUGGAUUGACGCUCAGGGACGAAAGCGUGGGGAUCAAACAGGAUUAGAAACCCUAGUAGUCC